UGGUCAAGGUAUUAAGGGUGCAGGGCGGAUGCCUUGGCACUAGGAGCCGAUGAAGGACGUGAUAAGCUGCGAUAAGCUUCGGGGAGUUGCACGUAAACUUUGAUCCGAAGAUUUCCGAAUGAGGAAACUCACUUAGAGUAAUGUCUAAGUAUCAUUAAGUGAAUACAUAGCUUAAUGAGGGGAACUCAGGGAACUGAAACAUCUAAGUACCUGAAGGAAGAGAAAGAAAUUCGAUUCCGUAAGUAGCGGCGAGCGAACGCGGAUUAGCCAAAACCAAUAAAGUUUUCUUUAUUGGGGUUGCGGACAUAGCAUAACGAAGAGGUAUCGUAAUUGAAGAGGUUUGGAAAGACCCACCACAGAAGGUAAUAGUCCUGUAUGUUAAACGAGAAGACUUUAGAUAUGAUCCAGAGUACCACGG
rnacentral:rRNA from 1 species